rnacentral:lncRNA from 1 species
CCGCCGCACGCGGGCGGGGCUGGGAGCGCGCGCCCGAGAGGCGCGUGGGGCACCCGCCGCAAAGAGGAGCCUGCUGGUCUGCUGGCGGGCAGGCGGCGCUGGGCCGGAGCCUCUCCCUCCGGUGCGCACAGCGCACCCUCUCCUCCCCCGGCCGCCCGUCGCAGCGCGGAGAGGGCGUGUCGGCACCCUGCCUGGCGAGCGCCCACCCCUACAAUGGCUGCGAGCGCGCGGGACGGAGGGUGCACCGCCGCUCCCCGGGGACUUGCACGGGUGGCGCGCCUAGCCCAGAGCCCGCUUGUAGUGAGCGCUCAGUAGGGCGGGAAAGCUGCUGCCGCUACUGCGGCCUUCUGAGAAGACGCCCAUUCUCUGAUGUCAGGACUGCAUCGCCGAGUCCUGAUUGCAAAUAGCGAAAUAUAUAAUUAAGGAGAGUUCGGGGGCGUAUCCUGCAAUGGGAUGCCGAGUUCGAUAAAGUUGCAGGAUGCUGGGAAAGUGGAUUGAUUUGCUGUUGCUAAAUGAAUGGAAACAGCGUUAGAGCUUCUGUCCACGAUCCAUCAGUCUAUCGAGAUUGCUGAUUGCCUAUGACUUGGACGGUUGAUGGUUUUCAGGCCCACUGAGAGCAGCCAGCGUUGGUAUAACCGCAGGGAGCCCUCCUGGGAGGUUGAACCUGCAGAGCGCAAAUGUGCCCAGGUUGAUUUGGGGCCUAGUGGUCCAUUUUCACAGCUCCACUGCCUAUCUGCAUAACCAGGAGCCCUCAUUCAGAUGAACGCCAAAUGGGCCAGAGGGAGGAGAAUCAAAUGAGCAACUUUUAAAAGAUAUUAAGACAUAGGCACCUAACUCCGGACAGUUCCUUUAACCCUUGAGCUAACCAUUUGAAGCACAAAACAUAACAAAAGAAAAGACUGGGGGGAGUGGGGCCAAAAGAAACCAAGUGCAAAAUUCUGUACACUUGUGUCAGAUUCACUCCGUAAUGGGAAAAGGUCUGGCUUUGAAAACUUUAUGGAUCAAAGGGAUGCAUGGAGUUACACAGCACAGCUGCAGAAGAUAAUGUUCCCCUGGAUCACUCUGCCCAACUCUUAACUGCAACCCACCUUCCCCAUCCGUCUCCCCGAAAUCACCCGGAAGGGUGUUACCUUCAGGAAGUAACUGAUCUCUUGAUCACCCCUGCUGGAUCCUGUCCCCAAGGGCGUUCGAAUGCAUCCGACUCAUCUUCACCUUGCCAAUAACGGGUGCUUGACACAUCGUUUGCUGCCAAUCAUUAUUGUGAUUUUAAUACUAUUGGUAUUCUAACUAUCAAGAUGACUGCUUGUAGAGCCAGAUUGCCUGGAUUCAAACUCCAGUUCACAACCUACUAACUGUAUGCCUUUAGGUAAACUCAGAUGCCUCUGAUGGAUUCGAAAUAACCAGAUAUAUUUCUGAAUUGCUUCAUAUGAAACAGUUGGGAAAAGAGAUUAAGGAAGGGAUGGUGCUGUUGGCUCCAGGCAGUGACUCAAGGAGGCAUUCAUGGUGAAAGAAGAAAGGCCUUUCUCAGGUGAUGCUUCAUCUUCCCCCACGUGCUCUGAUACCCUGUCCCUGCCUUGAUGUGUCUAUAAAUACAAACAGCAGGAGACCCGCAUCAGUAGACAAAGCAGGUGGCUGCAACCUAUUCUUCUUCCCAAUGGCCACUGGGACAGUUCCUCUCCCCCAGAACUUGUUGUUUAUAUUUAUUUUACACUAAAGCUAUUUUAACAUAAACCUGUUGAAAUAGGAGAGGGCUUCCCAUCUCACACCUCCACAGAUGUGUAUUUUCUAGAACAAAUUCAAGACUAAUCAUAAAAUGAAAACAGAUUUCCACAAAGUUGUUCUUUAUAAUGUAAAUUUUUUUCUGACAGGCAGCUUAAUACUUCAAAGGGCAACCCAUUCCUUUAUUGAUUAUAACUAAUUGUUUGAGAUUUUCUUUAGCAUGAGUUGAAAUUUUUCUUCCUUUGUCAAAGUGAAGGAAGGGACUUGUAUACAAGGAAGGUCCUUGUAUAAAGGACCUAUCAUCAAGGUACCAUCUCUCUUUAAACUUUAACUCCCAGAGGAGAAAUACCUAUAGCCACACAAUUCAUGUACUUUUUAGUCAUUGGAUCUCUAUGACUAUUAUCAUUAUAGAAACUGUUUUAAUAUAAUAAUAAUUUGAAAACUGGAUUUUAAGAAUACAAAUUUAGAAAUAGCAGUUCUCUCUAGAGACUCAUUCAUGAAUAUGGAAAGAUCUUUUAUCAGAUAAUUCCCCCCAGGGGUCCUUUAAAUAGCAAUCUCCUUCGUUUUGAUUCAAUUUGUAGAAAUCCCAUCUAGAUGCAUUACUGGACCACACAUUGUGUAAAGGAAGGUACAUUAUGUGUUGGGUAACCAUUUGGCUCUCUCUUUCUUCCCAACUUGUGACUAAUUGAUUUUGCCAUUAAUUGGGAUUUCCCCUGGAGGCCAUUUGAUCUGUUUGCAGGAUGAGCAGGGAGUUAGGGCAGUCCCUCCAGAUGGGACGGCUUUCAAUAAGCAGACAGUCCAAAGGGGCAUCAGAGUGAUACAGAAACGAUUAAUUGAAUAACUCACUUGAAAAUCAUGUGCUGCUUUAAAGACCUAAAAGCUAAGUAAAUACCUAAGUAAAGGCCAUACUGAUCAAGUAAGACUCCUUGUUGCAGCCUGGCUGAGAAUAAUGCCAGGAAAAAAAAAAUUUAAGAGCAUCCCAUUAAUGGAUUCUUUAAAAUACUGGAAGCAUGAUUCCAGGCAAUAACAUACUGUAAUCCCCAUAAUACUCACAUUUGCAUAACUCUAGAUAAUUUAUGAAGCAUUUUCGCAGAUACUGUGCAGAUCUCACACUGACACGGGGGUGGGUUGGCUGUGAAAGGGCUCAACUGGACUUACAUUCCAGGAGCAGAAACAGGCUUGGAGCUGUGGACUUCUCAGAGGCAUACAACUAGUAAGUGGCAGAAAUAUUACCAGAACCCAAAACUUCUAAUUCUAAAUUUCUUGACAACACACAGCACCAUCUCCCCAGUGCAUCACAGCUAAAACCACCUUACUGGACUCUGUUUUACCCUGGAGAAGAAAUGCAUACUGACUGAGGACUCUGCUCCAUGCCUGGCAAAAUAUUUGUAUUAUUUUUACAAGUAUGUUUUAGUUUUAUACAGAUAAAUACAAUUUUAAAUGGUUAAAGAUGGCCUCAUAUUUAAAAAGCACAUUGGGAGCCACUGUGUUAGAUUAUGCAGUGCAGACAUAGAGAACCAAAAGGCUAUGUGUGGUGGGAAUAGUGAGGCAGAACAAGAACUUUCUAGAAAAGGAAAGAAAGGAGAGAACCUGUGGAGCGGAGCUGGGAACCAGGCUGGAGAGGAGAGGGAAUAGCUGUCCAGGAGCAGCUAUGCAUGUAAACUAGACAUGAGGCUCUAUUUUAUCGAGAAUUUUCCUUCUCUUAUCUCUACAUGCCCUUUCCCACUACCACCUAGCAGUCAGCUUUAUCCCCUGAGAGGACUUAGGGAAAUGGAAGGAGGAGAGGAGCUGACUUUGUCUACCUAAUAAGAGAAGGACAAGGGGAAGCCAUUAUCCUGACCUUUCUGUCUCCCCAGGAAAUGGGUAUCUACCUCUUUGCAUUUGUUUACUAAGAAAGGCUAUUCAAGUGAUUUUUCCUAGAAUAAUGAAAGAUGUUUCUAGAAGGUUUGCUUUCUCCCCAACACAAAGAAGCAGCCAGGAAUUCCUAAAUAUCAAGCUUUUUUAAAAAAAUUCCAUUUCACCAGGCAAUCCACUAUGCACGUGAGAACAGCACCUACUUCAUAUGCUUGUUGUAAGAUGUAAUCAAGACCACGUACCUAAGCUGUUUACACAGGGGCAGGCACAAGUUAGGCAUACCAUGAACAUUUGUGUCUUAGUCUGUUUUCUGCUGCUAUAACAGAAUACCUGAGAUGGAUUAAUUUAUAAACAAUAGAAGUUUAUUUGGCUCACCGUUCAGGAGAUUGGAAAGUCUAAGAGCAUGGUGCCUGCAUCUGGUGAAGGCCUUCAUGUUGUGUCAUCCCAUGGCAGAAGGUGGAAGGCAACAAAGGGCAGCAGUGAGCAAGCAAGAGGAGGCUGGACUCGCUUUUAUAACAAAGGUACUCUGGAGAUAAAUUACCCACUCCUGUGAUAACAACAUUAAUCCAUUCAUGAGGGCGGAGCCCUCUGACCUAAUCACCUUUUAUUAGGCCCCACCUCCCAAAAACUGUUGCAUGGGAUUAAGUUUCCAAAACAUGAACUUUGGGGAACACAUGCAAACAAUAGCAAUUUAUAAAUAAGGACCAAAAUUUGUUGAGGACUUAACAGGUGAACCCAAGAGCUACAAUGGGGCUCCAGGCACAAUCUUUGUCUUCAAGGGGUAUAUUAGUCUGUUCUCCUGCUGCUAAUAAAGACAUAC